rnacentral:rRNA from 2 species
UGGGGGAUAUUGCGCAAUGGGGGAAACCCUGACGCAGCAACGCCGCGUGAAGGAAGAAGGUCUUCGGAUUGUAAACUUUUUUCUUUGGGGUAGAAAAAAAUGACGGUACCCAAGGAGGAAGCCACGGCUAACUACGUGCCAGCAGCCGCGGUAAUACGUAGGUGGCAAGCGUUGUCCGGAUUUACUGGGUGUAAAGGGCGUGUAGACGGGACUUAAAGUCAGAUGUGAAAUACCGCAGCUCAACUGCGGGGCUGCAUUUGAAACUUAAGUUCUUGAGUGCAGGAGAGGAAAGCGGAAUUCCUAGUGUAGCGGUGAAAUGCGUAGAUAUUAGGAGGAACACCGGUGGCGAAGGCGGCUUUCUGGACUGUAACUGACGUUGAGGCGCGAAAGCGUGGGUAGCAAACAGG